GGAUUUCUGACCCUCAUGUUUAUGUCAAAGGAGAUGCCCACUCAGCCAGGAGAGAUGCCACUCAGCUAACAGUGAGACCAGGCGGCACCUGGGGCAGCCUUGCCGGGCCUUUCCUGCAAGAGAAGGAGAGGCACGUGGAACUGAGUUGCCGGCCAGAACCUAUGAUAUCAGCCACCCCCAGCAGACCCCACGUGUGAGCGAGCCAAGCCAAG
rnacentral:lncRNA from 1 species